UACGAGGGGGGCUAAUGUUGUUCGGAAUCACUGGGCGUAAAGGGAGCGUAGGCGGGUGUUUAAGUUAGGUGUUUAAUCCCAGGGCCCAACCCUGGUCAGGCACCUAAAACUGGACAUCUUGAAUAGUGGAGAGGACGAUGGAAUUGGGGGUGUAGCGGUGGAAUGCGUAGAUAUCGGAAGGAACACCAGUGGCGAAAGCGGCUUCCUGGUCCAGCACCGACGUUCAGGCACGAAAGCGUGGGGAGCAAACAGG
rnacentral:rRNA from 1 species